rnacentral:rRNA from 1 species
UACGGGGGGGGUAAGCGUUGUUCGGAAUUACUGGGCGUAAAGGGCUCGUAGGCGGCCAACUAAGUCAGACGUGAAAUCCCUCAGCUUAACUGGGGAACUGCGUCUGAUACUGGAUGGCUUGGAUCCGGGAGAGGGAUGCGGAAUCCCAGGUGUAGCGGUGAAAUGCGUAGAUAUCUGGAGGAACACCGGUGGCGAAGGCGGCAUCCUGGACCGGUAUUGACGCUGAGGAGCGAAAGCCAGGGGAGCAAACGGG